AUUGAACGCUGGCGGAAUGCUUUACACAUGCAAGUCGAGCGGCAGCGCGGGGGCAACCCUGGCGGCGAGCGGCGAACGGGUGAGUAACAUAUCGGAACGUACCCUGUCGUGGGGGAUAACACAGCGAAAGCUGUGCUAAUACCGCAUACGACCUGAGGGUGAAAGCGGGGGAUCGCAAGACCUCGCGCGAUAGGAGCGGCCGAUAUCGGAUUAGCUUGUUGGUGAGGUAAAGGCUCACCAAGGCGACGAUCCGUAGCUGGUCUGAGAGGACGACCAGCCACACUGGAACUGAGACACGGUCCAGACUCCUACGGGAGGCAGCAGUGGGGAAUUUUGGACAAUGGGGGCAACCCUGAUCCAGCCAUUCCGCGUGAGUGAAGAAGGCCUUCGGGUUGUAAAGCUCUUUCAGCAGGAACGAAACGGUGGCCACUAAUACUGGCUACUAAUGACGGUACCUGAAGAAGAAGCACCGGCUAACUACGUGCCAGCAGCCGACGG
rnacentral:rRNA from 1 species